GAGGAAGCCCGGUGCGAAUCCGGCGCGGUCCCGCCACUGUGAGCGGGGCCCCGAGGGGCUCCGCGAGUCAGGAACUC
rnacentral:ncRNA from 1 species